rnacentral:sRNA from 1 species
GACGGGAAGUUCCGUCUCAGCCUCUCACUCAGCGGCGGUGUCGCACUUCUCCUGAGAGGCUCCGGCGAGGGGCAAGGCCGCGGUCGUCCGGGACCCGCCUCAAGCCUCGCAGGCUUUCACCCAGUUUCCUCCCGAUUCUUGCUGGGACAACAUAAUUGGGAAGCGGUUCUCGAAACAUACUCUCAAGGCGUAGUUGCAUUUGGUCGCCCAACUCACACUGAUGCCUAAGACCCAGCUGAUUAAAGUUACUGUACCAUGGCAGGCCAACGAACAUGUCAAAGGAGGAGCAGCAGAGCUGUCCCCAGGAAAAUGCAAGAACCUCCAAAGAGCAUUGAAGAAUUCUUAAAGUUUCAAAAUUGGAAAUAUCAAUUUGAACAGCUAUCCUUGCAAGAAAAAUACCUUUACAAGAGCUAAGGAAUCCAGGAUUAUUGGCCAAGGGAAAUCCAUUUUAGAGAUGGUGAUAAAUGGUCAUGCACUCUGAAAAAAAUAAAAGAAGAUAGUUCAUUUGUUUCAAUUUAUACACACCUAUGGGAAAGUGUUCCUCGAAUAUUUGAAGCACUUUUGAUCAUGGAAUCAAAAUUAAAGGAAUAUUCACUUAUUUUGCAAAACCACACCUCUAAAAUAUUUAAGUGGAAAAGCAUGAUUUCUGAGACAA